AUCUCACACUGGAGUUGUGACAUCAGCACUAUUCUGCCUCUGCUAUACAACAGGCCCUGGAACAUACUCGAACCAUGUAGGUGAUUUGUGUCCCUGUCUCAUCUUUCUUACCAGAAUACCAUCGGAGCUCCUCUGGAACAUGUCCUUGUCUUCUCAGAGUGUGAAGUGUGUGUGUGACAGUGCUUUUCUGAGGACUCAGGUGACCUGGAGGCUGGAGAACAGCAUGGAGCAAGGAAAACAAAGACGAUGUGCUGGAGUGUAUGUUGCUUUCAUAAUUAUGUGAAAGAAAAUGUAGAGAAAUUUGAAAGGAGAACUGGUUAUCAGUAGUGCCAUCCUGCUCAAAUAUCUUCAAAUACACACCACCAUCCAUGUGUGGGUUGAUUAAGGAGCUGACGUUCAUUAGAUCUGCAGUCUCCUGACCUGAUGUGCAUCAGAAUCACUGGGAGAACAAACAAACAAAAAUGAAUCCAAAACAAGCAACGAACAGACAGAUUCUCAAGUCUUGCCAAGUCCAAAGAUUGAUUUGGUGGAGAAAUUGUACUUUGAAAGCUGCCCAGGUAAUAAUUCUGGCAUAUAGCCAGGUUUGUAAAAUCUUGAAUGAACUGUCUUGGGCAAACAAAGGAAUUCUAGUUUUUUAUCUGCCAGCUUUUAAAAAUUUCCCAUCUUUGAAAGGAAAGUGUUACAUUAAUCACAAACUCCCAUGGUCAAGGUGAUAGCAAAACAACACUGUAUUCUGGUUGGAACCUUGGAACAUUCAGACCUUGGAGAGAACAAGCAAAACAUUUUCAUAAUUAUGAUGUCAUGUGGGUUGAAAGCAGAGUCUUGAUUUGGGUUCCGCUGCUGCCCAUAAACAGCUGGGUGGGAAUUUGGGUCAAUCCCUUCACUUCUCUAUAGCUCCCUUUCCUCAUCCCCAAAAUGAGAUGCUUGUUUGAUUUCAGAGUUUCCUGCUAGGUCUACAAUUCUGUGAUUAGCAUCUCUGCUCUCUGGAAUAUUCUUUUAUGUCCGGUGACUUAAAUCAGAUUAUCAAAUAUUUAUUGAACACCUGCUAUGUGUCCAGAAACUGAAAUUAUUUGAAAAAUUGGAUCUGUGGGGGAAAGAAGGGGCUGAGAAGGGACAAAUACUAGUAAAGAGAAAUGGAUGGAGCUCAACAACUAAGAAUUUUUGAACUCUAAUAAAUGUUUCUACUUUCUCGCU
rnacentral:lncRNA from 10 species